rnacentral:misc_RNA from 1 species
CUGAAUGGCCCUGGGCCUUCAACCUUGCAAACCUGUGGAAGCAACAUGUGCUUCGGCGCUUCGGCGUCGCAUUUAUGCUGCAAUAAGCCUAUGUGUCUGAUUCAAAUACAAGAAAUA